rnacentral:rRNA from 1 species
UACGUAGGGAGCGAGCGUUGUCCGGAAUUACUGGGUGUAAAGGGAGUGUAGGCGGGAUGGUAAGUUAGGUGUGAAAUGCGGAGGCUCAACCUCCGAGCUGCACUUAAAACUGCUGUUCUUGAGUGAAGUAGAGGUUGGCGGAAUUCCCAGUGUAGCGGUGAAAUGCGUAGAUAUUGGGAGGAACAUCAGUGGCGAAGGCGGCCAACUGGGCUUUUACUGACGCUGAGGCUCGAAAGCGUG